rnacentral:rRNA from 1 species
UGUAAGCGUAUAUCAAAGUUGUUGCAGUUAAAACGCUCGUAGUCGGAAUUUGGCAGUUCCGGAUGUGUGCACGUCGUGUGCGCACUUCGCGGGGAUUGCUUUUGUGGUCUUGCGUAGGAUGAGGCACUUUUAUUAGUGAACGUCCUCACGCAACCACUUUUUACUGUGAGAAAAUCAGAGUGCUCAAAGCAGGCAUUUGCCGUGAAUGUAUUAGCAUGGAAUAAUAGAAUAGGACUUGGUUCUAUUUUGUUGGUUUGUUGGGACUGAGUAAUGAUUAAGAGGGACAGUUGGGGGCAUUUGUAUUUCGGUGCUAGAGGUGAAAUUCUUAGAUUACCGAAAGACAAACUGCUGCGAAAGCGUCUGCCAAGGACGUUUUCAUUGA